rnacentral:rRNA from 1 species
UGGGGAAUAUUGGACAAUGGGCGAAAGCCUGAUCCAGCCAUGCCGCGUGUGUGAAGAAGGUCUUCGGAUUGUAAAGCACUUUAAGUUGGGAGGAAGGGCAGUAAGCGAAUACCUUGCUGUUUUGACGUUACCGACAGAAUAAGCACCGGCUAACUCUGUGCCAGCAGCCGCGGUAAUACAGAGGGUGCAAGCGUUAAUCGGAAUUACUGGGCGUAAAGCGCGCGUAGGUGGUUCGUUAAGUUGAAUGUGAAAGCCCCGGGCUCAACCUGGGAACUGCAUCAAAAACUGGCGAGCUAGAGUAGGGCAGAGGGUGGUGGAAUUUCCUGUGUAGAGGUGAAAUGCGUAGAUAUAGGAAGGAACACCAGUGGCGAAGGCGACCACCUGGGCUCAUACUGACACUGAGGUGCGAAAGCGUGGGGAGCAAACAGG